AUUUUUUGAGUUACCUCCCGUAGUAUAAACAAAGAAAUAGGUCGUACUCUGCAACCAUGACAUGAUAAUAGAGAGACUAAUUUUGUUUGGAGCGAAAGCAGUGUGUACGGUUGUGUGUAUUGAAUGAGAGCAAGAUGGGCGACUGUGCCUUGUUAUGGAGUGUGAUGUGGGCAGUGAUUCUGAUCGUGUUUGGCUGGCCGAUUGGACUGAUCUGCGCGUUAUUUUACUGUCUGCUCAGCCCGUGCGCCGCGUGUUGCCACGGCUGUACCGAGCUUAUCAAUCUGUUGGACCGUGGCGUCAAGCUACCUCUGACUUGUUCACAGAAUAUGGUGACGGGGAAGUCGAUGUGUUAAACAUGUUGGAUGUAUAAAUCCCAAGUUCUUAACUCUUCUCAUAUUAUGACGCUUCUCAUAUAACGAUGUACCCGAAAUCUUGCAUGCAUUUUGUACAAUAGAUGUAUUUAUAAAGGGAAAUGUAUUACGUGUCACUUUUAAAAGAUUUUUUUUUUGAGGAUGUAAUUCUCAAUGUAUUUAUAUUUAAUAUGUAUUUGUUAAAAAUAAAGAACUCCUUUUUAAUA